UACCAGCACCCCGAGUGGUCGGGACGAUUAUUGGGCCUAAAGCAUCCGUAGCCGGUCCUACAAGUCUUCCGUUAAAUCCAACUGCUUAACAGGUGGGCUGCGGAAGAUACUAUAGAGCUAGGAGGCGGGAGAGGCAAGCGGUACUCGAUGGGUAGGGGUAAAAUCCGUUGAUCCAUUGAAGACCACCAGUGGCGAAGGCGGCUUGCCAGAACGCGCUCGACGGUGAGGGAUGAAAGCUGGGGGAG
rnacentral:rRNA from 1 species